rnacentral:sRNA from 1 species
CUGAGAAGAGUACUGAUGGACACAAAGUUCCUUCUGUCAUUUGACAUGCUGCUUCCUUUCUGAUGGGCUCUAACUUCAGCUUUUCGGUCUCAUUCAGAAUAGAGAAAUUAACAGAUUUUACUGGUGGGUGUUUUCAGAUUAAGAAACUCAAAGGGCAGCUGGAGGAGAGACAGAAGAUUGGCAGACUAGACAAUCUUCGAUCUGAAGAUGAUGUCUUGGAAAACGGGACAGACAUGCAUGGGAUGCCAACAGACAAAUCAGCGACCUCAAAUUUAAACUUGCAAAAUCUGAGCAAGAGAUAACUGCAUUAGAACAAAAUGUAAUAAGGUUAGAGAGUCAAGUAUCACGUUACAAAUCAGCGGCUGAAAAUGCAGAAAAAAUAGAAGAUGAACUUAAGGCAGAAAAACGGAAACUCCAAAGAGAGCUCCGCUCUGCGUUGGAUAAAACAGAAGAGCUUGAGGUGAGCAACGGCCACUUAGUGAAGCGUCUGGAAAAAAUGAAAGCAAAUCGGAGUGCGCUCUUGUCCCAGCAGUAAAUUCCAGCUCUGAACAGGCAACUGGUUGG